rnacentral:rRNA from 2 species
CGCCUCUUGUACAUGUAUAAGAGGUCCAGCCUGCCCAGUGACUUAGUUUAACGGCCGCGGUAUCCUAACCGUGCGAAGGUAGCGUAAUCACUUGUUCUUUAAAUGAGGACUUGUAUGAAUGGCACCACGAGGGUUUUACUGUCUCCUUUUUCUAAUCAGUGAAACUAAUCUUCCCGUGAAGAAGCGGGAAUAAACGUAUAAGACGAGAAGACCCUAUGGAGCUUUAAAUACAUAGCAAAUGCUUACUUCAUUUUAUAUUCCGAUAAUUACCACUUAAUCUAGCAUUAUGAACUAUCGAUUUUAGGUUGGGGUGACCAUGGAGCAAAAAUCAACCUCCAUAUUGAAAAAACUUCAUUUUAAGCAAAAAAUUACCACUUUAAGCAUCAACAUAUUGACAUUAAUUGACCCAAUAAUUUGAUCAAUGAACCAAGUUACCCUAGGGAUAACAGCGCAAUCUACUUCAAGAGCUCUUAUCGACAAGUAGGCUUACGACCUCGAUGUUGGAUCAGGGUAUCCUAGUGGUGCAGCCGCUACUAAAGGUUCGUUUGUUCAACGAUUAAAACCCU